rnacentral:tRNA from 1 species
GGGGGUGUAGCUCAACACCCGGUAGAGCAGCCGCCUUGCAAGCGGCAGGCCGCAGGUUCGAACCCUGUCACCUCCACCA